rnacentral:rRNA from 1 species
AUGUCGGGCCCGCGUCCCGCCGCCGCGCCGAACCCUAGCUCCGCGUCGCCCUCCCCGCCCCCUCCCCCGCCGGCCGCCGUCGCCAGGGUCGCGGCCAGGGUGCGCGAGGAGGGCGAGGUCUCCUCAGGCCCCUCCGACGACGAGGCUCUGCAAUCUCAGCUGUUAGCUCUAUCCAAUGCUGGGAAAUAUGUGCAGGCUGCUGCUCAAGUGACGUUGGCAACUUUCCCUGGUAAAGGAGGUAGUAGUUUGAGUCUCUCAAAUGUUCUUCCUCAGAAAACAGUUGCUCCAAGUUAUAAGAAGACCUUGAGGGGGAAUCAAGGGCAAUUCAAACUUGGCACCAGUCGUAAUCUUGCUUGGUUGAAACCUGUGCCAAGUGAUAACUUGGUGAUAAGUUUCUCUGAUGAUGAUAUUGAGACCGACCCUGGAAUGUCAAAGCAAGUUGGAGGUAAAGGUAGCAAAGCCAGCACACAAGUUACACAUAAACCUGGGAUGAGUGUGCAAACUAGACUUAUGAGAGAGGAAGCACCCCAACAAAAGAUCCAUGCUGCAAACAUAGGAUCCACGAAAUGGUCUGCUAAUGCACACACACUCAGAAACUCGGCGGCAGGUAGGGGCUCAGGUGCUACCUUUUCUAGAAGAGAGCCACCUAUUCGUCAAGUUACACCUCUGAAGUCUUCCCAGAAGGAUGGAACUGGUAUGGGAGUAAAGUCAGCAGAUGACAAGUUGGAAAGUUUGCGCCACAAAAUUGCUGCUAGAGAAAAUGAGUUAAAAGUUCAGAAAAGACCGAUAUCACCUGGUUUUGUGAAGGAAGCUGACUACUCCACUGAUCAGACAAGGCCACCUUUGGAGAAGAUAGGCUUUGAAGCUUCCAACAGUGGUCGGCAUGCUCACCUUGACGGUCCAUUUGGACAUGAUGGCAGACCAGUUAAAAGGCUGAAGCCCAAUCAGCAGUGUUUCGAUAACCAAGUAGGAGGUGAUUUGGUAACACUGGUAACACCUGGAAGUUCAUUGGGAAAUGAUAAUGUACAAUCUUCUGAAAGAAGGGAUCACAUUGAAAAUGGAAUCACCAUGAACUGUAAAGGUAAUGAGACAGAACAUGCCAUCACAACAGAAUCCUCAGAUCAAAUGCAUAUUGGUGGUACUGCUAAGAACCUUCUGUCAUCAAAAAGUCACCACAUGGUUCUACAAGAUGGUGGCAACCAUGCCAUGGUUGAAUGUCAUAGCAAGCUUGCAGGGCCACCAUUUACUAGUGAGCAACCUAUGGCUGAAGAUACCAGUGCUUUGGUUCCCGUUACUUCUGUACCAGCAGGGGCCAAUGUAGACAGGUCAUCUCUUCAUGCCAAGGACCAUAUUUUUUCUACCCAGGAUUGGCAACAAGUAAAGCCUGUUGAUACUUCAACUGUGUCAAAUGAAAGGCUGCACUUGCAGCCUGGAAUGGAGAAUGCUGAUCUCUUAAACCGGAGCGGCCAGGUGGGUAUAAGAGGCCAGAACACAACAUUGCUCUCUCUGCUUGAGAUGGAGGAACUCCAAGACAGGGAGUUGGAGGUUGCUCAGGAGCAUAGGCGAAAAUGUGAAGUUGAAGAAAGAGAAGCUCUCAGAGCAUAUCGCAAAGCACAAAAAGCUUUAAUUGAGGCCAAUGAAAGAUGUACCAUUCUUCGUGGAAAAAGAGAAGUUUGCUCUGCACAAGUCCAUGGUUUGAUUGCAGAGAAUUCUUCUUUGGCGCAGUGUUCAAAUAUUCAGAAUGCUGGACGUGGCUUUGUAAUGCCGUCACUACUCAACUCUCAGUUCCAUGCAGAUCUUCAGAUGCCUGAGAUCUGUGGUGGUAGGUCUAGCAGUCCAUACCAAGAUGAACCUCCUCAACAGCCGGUGGAUAAGCACGAGGCACGCUCACGCCAUUGUGAUGAGCUUGCUGCUGGCAUUGCUGAUCCAAAAUUUGCGAGUACUGUCCAUGAUAACAGUGAACCUUCACAUUACAGGGAAGAGGAUCUCCUGUUCUCUUCUAAGCGGGCUAGAUCAGAAUGCACUUCAAAUCUGGAGAAUGAGGAAACUAUACAUGCAUAUUUGGAGGAAAACAGAGAGCCUUCUGGUGAUAACGGUCAGGACUAUGAACUUUUAGAAGCUUCUUUGAGGUCCAGAUUGGUGCAAAAAUUUGCAAGGAAUCCACAUCUGAAUAACUCUGGAGAAGUCACUGAAGAGCAUUUAGAAGUAACGGAACAAGGCAAACAACCUGCAAAUGUUGAACUUCAGUUACAGGAUGCUGAUGAGAUUAUGACAAAUCCUGAAGGCACAGCGGAACUUGCAAAUGAUGGCGCUGAUUGUGUUGAAAAGAUGUCUGGACUAUCUAAUUCUAGUAAUGCUCUUUCCAUGGGCAACUGUGAUCCUGAGGACAAUAUUUCCUCUCUUGGAGAAUUAUGCGCGCCAUCAAGUGUGAAUUCUCUCAUUUUUCCUUCUUCAGCGCCACUAAAUGCUGCUAAACACAUCAAGUGGGUAGUCCAUGGCUUCUGUAAAAAUGAUUCUAUAACCAGCAAUGUAGCAUCUGAUGCAAUGGUAAGUGGACAGUAUAUGAUACAAGACCGCGUUGAAGAGAAUUUGAAGAUGGUCUCAACAGCUACAAAGGAUAAGGACAUGGUGCACAGUGGGAUUGAUCCCUUCUGGCCCUUCUGCAUGUUUGAGCUCCGAGGAAAGUGCAAUGACGAAGAGUGUCAAUGGCAGCAUAUUGAGAAUCAUGCUUGGAGAAAGUCAAAUCACACAAAACAUGCCAUGUCUUCUGUUUCAGGUCGGAGUCCUUAUGAUCUGUUUCAGCAUAUUCUGCCAGUGCCAACAUAUCGUGUUGGUUCAAAUCUUAUUAGAGCCGAUCUGAACUUAAUGCAGUCGGUGCUGGCUAGCAGUAUAUGGCAAUAUUGGCAAAGGGGGUUUUGCGCUUCCUUUCCUUUACCUUUGUCAGUUCAGAGAGUUCUUCCAUCAGAUGCACCAUUCUUACAAGCUGGUGAUGGUUCGAUUGCAGAUUUUGAUAGGAACAGACAGCUAUCAAAUUUGCGAAUGCUGGAUGGUAGGAAGAAUAAGAUUGUACAUGGAUCUGUUGAUGUUGAGCUUUUCUUAGAGGCUGCACUUGGUUUAUAUUGUGGGAAAGUAAACAAACCUGACAGGCUCAAGGCUCUUUUACUUCUAGCACGUUCCAUUGAGGCUGAUCCAAGCACAGUUAUUCUGUGGGUGUUUUAUCUUCAUAUUUACUAUCAAAAGGAUGAAGGUCUUGGGAAAGAUGACAUGUUUUCCCAUGCGGUGCAACACAAUGUUUACUCCUACGAAUUAUGGCUCAUGUAUAUUAAUAGUAGGUUGCGCUUUGAUGACCGAUUGGAUGCUUAUAACGAUGCUCUGAGUAUGCUCUGCCAAAUGCCAGCUGAUGCUGACAAUGAAUUGAAAGAUAGGAGUGCCUUCAUCCUAGAUAUUUUCUUACAGAUGAUUUACUUCCUGUGCAUGUCUGGAAAUGUAGAUAAGGCUAUUUCUAGGAUAUAUGGGAUUCUACCUGCUGCAACCGCUGACUGCUCUGGCGAGAAGUUACUUUCGGAUGCCAUAUCUUGCUUGACCGUGUCUGACAGAUGCAUAUUUUGGAUUUCAUGCCUGUACAUCUCAAUUUAUAGGAAGCUUCCAGAGGAAAUUUGCGAUCAGCUAGAAUUUCCAAAAGAUAUACCUCGCAUGUUAGUAUGGCAUCCUAUUGAACUUAGGGUAGACAACAGACGUCAGGUUACAGAACUAUUGAAACAUGUUGCUGAUAAGAUGUCUCUAGAUAUUAACGAGACUGUUAAAAAUGGGGAUCCGUCUUACCUGAAAUUGUCACAAUUCCUCGCUGUUAACCACAUUAGUUGUUUAGCUGCUCUUGAAGGCUUGCAAUCUUCUGUUGAUAUGCUGAUGAAGUAUAUGAAGGAGUACCCAAUGUGCCCCAAUAUUCUUCUUUUCGCAGCUCGGAUAUGUCAAAAGUAUGGUACAUGUCCUGGUCUGAAAGGGUUUGAUGAGUUGCUCAUGGAUUGGCCUAAAGAGGUGCAAGGAGUUCAGUUUCUGUGGAAUCAGUAUGCUGAGCAUGCUUUGGCAGAUAAUAGUGAGUUAGCUGAGAAGAUUCUGGCUCGCUGGUUUGAAGAAUAUGGAAAAGAUGGUGAUCUCCAUUCUAGUGCUGCUGUUUGUAUGGCGGAAGUUGGUAAUGAAGUGUCCGAACAACCAUCACUAGCCUAUACACAAGAAGUUUGUUCUGGUCCAUCUGCAUCUGAAGAUCAGGUCUAUUGGUUGUUAAACCUCUCACUGUACAGGAUGCUAGAGAACAACCUACAGGAAGCACAAGUUGCUGUGAACAAAGCAUUGAAGUUGGCCCGAGGGGAGAGCUAUGAGCACUGUUUAAGGGAGCAUGCUGCAAUUAACAUGCUAGAGAGACCAUCUUGUACAGACACUCAAGCUCGAGCUACCUUAAAUCUGAUCAGUGGUUAUCUUGCAGACCUUCGGAACUUACCUGUGAAGGAACUGCUGUCUCGAAGGUUUAUCCAAAAUGUUAAGAAGCAUAAGCUUAGGCAGUUGAUAGAUGACACUAUAGGUCCAGCUUCUGCAGAUUCUUCAGUGAUAAACUCAACCCUUGAGGUGUGCUAUGGCCAGUCCCUCCUUCCAGAAAAAAUAGGCGGAGUAAAAUACCUUGUGGAUUUUGUUGAAUCAGUUAUGGAGGUUCUUCCUGCAAACUACCGCCUAGCUCUGGCAGUUGGCACAUUUGUGGUUAAACAUUACAAGGGCGCUGACCCUACCUCGAUGGGUACCAGGUUCUGGGCAAGUUCUGUUCUGAUCAAUGCCAUUUUCCGUGCUGUACCCGUCGCACCAGAAUCAGUAUGGAUAGAAGGUGCCAAUCUCCUGGAGAAACUGCAGGCUGCUGAGACGGUGAAGCGGUUCCACCAGCAGGCAACAUCAGUGUACCCCUUCUCAUUCAAGCUGUGGCAUGCUUACUUGACUGCCUGCAAGGCCAGUGGAAGCAACACGGAUAGCAUCACAGAAGCCGCUAGGCAACGAGGCAUCGAGCUGAAUGUAAUGCCACCCUAG